rnacentral:rRNA from 1 species
AACGAACGCUGGCGGCAUGCCUAACACAUGCAAGUCGAACGAAACCUUCGGGUCUAUUUGCGCACGUGUGCGUACCACGUGGGAACCUGCCCGUAGGUUCCGAAUAACUCCCCGAAAGGGGUGCUAAGACCGGUUAAUGUCUUCGGACCAAGGAUUUAUCGCCGUUGGAUGGGGGCGCGUUGGAUUCGCUGGUUGGUAGGGUAAAAGCCUACCAAGGCGUCGAUCCAGAGCUGGUCGGAUAGGAUGCCAAGCCACACUUGAAAUGAGACCCGGCCUAGACCCGUACGGAAGGGAGCAGUGGGGAAUACUGGACACGGGGCGAAAGUCUGACAAAGCCACGCCGGGUGAGUGAUGAAGGGGUUAGGGUUGUAAAGCCCUUUUAGCCGGGACGAUAAUGACGGUAACGGGAGAAUAAGCACCGGCUAACUCCGUG